AAACUGGAAAACCGUUUUCUGCCGUCGCAGCCAGCCAAGCCAACCUCGCUCAACGUUCACCUCACGCUCCGAUUUCAGAGCUCCCCUGCGGCUGCAUGCACAGCUACUCCCUUUGCGCUUUAGAAAUCAGUGACUUCAUCGAAAUUUUCCCGCCAAAACAGAUGCUCCGGUCUCUCCACUCUCACCUCCACACACCCUCUUUGGCUCCCAGUUCGAGCCACCGGUGUCCCAAGUCCCCGCCGUUUUCGUUCCAUUUCCCGCCACGGCCCUUUCCCCUGCGUAAACUGGGAAAGAGUCUUCCUGGGCACCGGAGAAAUUUUCCGGGUUGUUCGGCUUCUUCUUCUGUGCCGGAGGAUGAUUUCGAAGUUGAGCAGCUUGAGCUGGCCCGCCUCUUGGACCUGCUGCCCGAGGGGAUGCGGCGGCGGGUCACCGAGCACCCUGAGCUCCAUCAGCUGAUCGAAGUCGUCAUGGAUUUGGGCCGGAAACCGCUCGCUCGGUUCCCUUCCGGUGACUUUGUGUUAUCGGAUUGUCCUAUCACCCAUGAAGAUCUAGGGCACGCCACGUCUCAGGUCGGUGACUUUGCUGUCGAUAACCGAGCUGGAAUCAGCCGCACAUUGCACAGGAUCAGUGCCAUUAGGAACCGGAAGGGAACGAUAAUUGGAUUGACUUGUCGUGUUGGGAGGGCAAUAUCUGGAAGUGCUCCUCUAUUGCGUGAUUUAGUGCAGAAUGGAGCUUCGCUGCUGCUUAUUGGCCCCCCCGGUGUGGGGAAAACUACCAUUAUCAGGGAAAUAGCUCGGAUGCUUGCAAAUGAUUACCGGAAACGUGUGAUGAUUGUUGACACGUCAAAUGAGAUAGGUGGGGAUGGUGAUAUACCUCAUGCAGGCAUAGGCAAUGCCCGCCGAAUGCAAGUUCCGGACUCUGACAUGCAACACAAGGUACUAAUCGAGGCUGUGGAGAAUCACAUGCCACAAGUGAUUGUAAUUGAUGAGAUUGGCACCAAACUCGAAGCAAUGGCAGCUAGCACCAUCGCGCAACGCGGGAUUCAGCUAGUUGCGACAGCUCAUGGUGUAACCAUUGAGAAUGUGAUCAUGAAUCCUGCCCUGGAGAUGCUUGUGGGAGGAAUUGAGAGUGUUACAUUAGGGGAUGAAGAGGCUAGCAGGAGGAGGGUGCAGAAGACAGUGCUUGAGAGAAAAGGACCUGCAACAUUCAACAGUGCUGUUGAGAUAGUCUCGAAGACUGAGUUGCGAAUUCAUCGAAGCUUAGAAGCAACAGUCGAUUUCAUUCUUUCAGGCAGACCCCCUAAUGUUGAAGUUCGCAAGAUAGGCCUGAAUGGUUCUCAAGAAAUCUUGAUGGAACCUCUGAAAGACUCUUUCUCCACCAACGAUCAAGAUAUUAGGUUAAGUGAUAUCCCCGAGAAGAUUUGUGAAAUAGCUGGAUUUAACGAAUAUAACCUUGAGCCUCGAAGCAUGGAUGAAUCCAAGGAUGAUGAGGAACCGAUCCACUUGUAUGCAUAUGGGAUUGCAGAAGGGAGCAUAAUACAGGUAAUGAAGCAGUUAGAAAUGAGCGAAGAUGCAAUUCUGAUAACGGAUGACAUAAGCAAGGCAGAUGCACUACUUGCUUCCCAGUCCAAGCUCAAGAAGAACCCACGGAUCCAAGCUGCUGCAAGCUUUCAUGGAAUUCCCACUUAUGUUACUAAGACAAGCUCAAUGAUGCAAAUAACGAAGGCGCUGAGGGCAUUAAUGCGGGAGCGAGAGGUUUUGGAGGAUUUAGAGACAGCAGACAAGUCCAACUCGGUGGAAAUAAAAGAUGCUUUGGAGGAGGCAAGAGUCGCUAUUGAGCAAGUCGUAAUUCCCAAGGGAGAACCUGCGGUGCUACUUCCGAGGUCACCUCAUGUUAUGACUCUUCAGAUCGAACUUAUAAGGAAAUACGGGCUCCAAUCAGAACAGGUAGUGAAAGAGCCAGAUGUGCGUCUCAGAAUUCUUCCAUUUCAUGCUAAAAUUGAUGAAGGAAACGUAAUUUCUAGUGAAAGUGAUGGAGAUGACGAGUUUGAUGAGUUUGAUAGCAGCAGCAGCGUCACGAAUGGUUCCAUCUACAGAAUAAGCAGACUGCCCCUCCUUCCUGAUUAGUCAGUAUAGGUUUGAAGUCAGAAGGGACGACGAAGUCAAUUGGAAAGUUGAUGUUGACAAUGAUAAGGUGCUGGAAUCGAAACCUAAAGAUGCCAGCUGCGAUAUUUGAGGUUGAGAAGGUUGAUGGAUCGAGUGACAGCGUAUCGUGCAGAUCGAGUGGAAAGUAUUGCCAGUAUAGCAUGACCUUGAUGGAGCACUAGAAAGGGAAGUCUCGACGGUCGUGACAAAUGAGGUGAAGUAAACUACCGAACCAACCACAUUAUGAUCAACUGACGUGGCGAGAAGUUCAAUAUCUAUCGAUUGGAUUUUGUUCAGACCAGAAAAAGGAGAAGGCGGCGGAAAAGCAGACACAUGUCAGCAUUUGGCGGCGGGAAAAGAUGAAAAUUUGUCCCUUUUGCGAACCACGUGGCAAUUGAAAUCCUCCGACGGUGUCUGAACAUCUUUCCUCCCGUCUUUGUUGAAAAAAUUUUGUAUACGCCAUGCCAUAAUGCCAUUCACUAGGAUCUUCCAUCCACCAACAUUACAAACGUGCCGAAACAAAUGGCAUGGCAUCUUUAUUGAGGAUGAA